GUGAAAUGGGGAAAUAGUACGCCCCAUAUAGGCUUGCAGUGAGAAUGGAGGGAGGUAACAGAUAUAAAGGAGGCGAGGGCUGUGAAAUGCGCGUGGGCUUUGCAGUGAGACAGACGGGCUCUGAGUCCUGCUUCAUCCCUUACUAACUGGGCCAUCUUGGGCAAGUCACUUGCGUUCUACAGUACCUGAAAUUUUUACUGUUUGCCACUUCUCUGGAGCUAUAAUUAAAAACCACCUUUUACAUCUAUGUGGGUCAUCUAAGAGAAGCAGUAUUACCGGUCACAAUACACCAGUAGAGGCUUGCCUGAUACCAGUUUAACUAACUGGAACACAUUCUUGAGAUACGAAGAAUGAGAAAAAUAACCUUUAAGUGUUUAACACCCACCAGAGGAGCUGCAGUUACCUCAGUGUGGAGCCCGAGACCCUACUCCAGCCUCGCGGUGAUUCUUUCUUCUCAUGGGAAGCAGAUGGAAUUAACAGACCAUCCCUAAUUGUUGUUCCUAAACAAGGUACUGCAAGAUUCAUCAACCUCUUCCCAGAAGCCAGGCUAUACAUCAGACACAAGGGUCAGGAUUUUUUACAACUCCACCAUUAAAAGCCCCUCUUUAUGGAAAAACCGUAUGCUUGUAUGUUUUCAUGUUUCUAAGAGGACAGAAAUAAACUUGGCCCUUGGUGACCCAAAUGAAGUAGAGGAUAUCUCCAUGAGCCCACAGUAACUGCUCUGAGCAGAGUAGUGGAGCGAAAAACAAUCUAACUCCUUGGAA